ensembl:misc_RNA Metazoa_SRP Metazoan signal recognition particle RNA
GCUGGGUGUGGUGACACACACCUGUAGUCCCAGCUACUCAGGAGGCUGAGGCAGGAGGAUUGCUUGAGCUUGGGAGGUGGAGUUUGCAGUGAGCUAAGAUUGUACCACUGAACUCCAGCCUGGGCAACAGAGCAAGACCCUGUCUCAA